CAUAUCAAUAAGCGGAGGAAAAGAAACUAACAAGGAUUCCCUUAGUAACUGCGAGUGAAGUGGGAUGAGCUCAAAUUUAAAAUCUGGUGGUCUCUGGCUGCCCGAGUUGUAAUCUAGAGAAGUGUUUUCUGUGCUGGACUGUGUUUAAGUUUCCUGGAUAUGGAACAUCAUAGAGGGUGAGAAUCCCGUCUUUAAUGCAGACUACCAGUGCUGUGUGAUACACUCUCAACGAGUCGAGUUGUUUGGGAUUGCAGCUCAAAAUGGGAGGUAAAUUCCUUCUAAAGCUAAAUAUUGGCGAGAGACCGAUAGCGAACAAGUACCGUGAGGGAAAGAUGAAAAGCACUUUGGAAAGAGAGUUAAACAGUACGUGAAAUUGUUAAAAGGGAAACAAUUGAAGUCAGUUGCAUCUACUUGGACUCAGCCUUACUUUGGUUUGGUGCAUUUCCUUGUGGAUGGGCCAGUGUUCAUGUUGAUUACUGGAAAAGGGGCUAGGGAAUGUGGCUCUUUCGGGAGUGUUAUAGCCUUGGCUCAUAUACAGUAAUUAAUAUGGAGUGGUACAGCAUGCUUCGGUGGUGCUUGUGCUGGCAUAAUGGCUUUAAAUGACCCGUCUUGAAACACGGACCAAGGAGUCUAACAUGUCUGCAAGUAUUUGGGUGAUAAACUCAAAUGCGUAAUGAAAGUGAUAGCUGGGAACCUUGUAAAGGGGGGCACCAGUGCCCCGAGCGGAUCUUCUGUGAUGCAUCGGAGGUAGAGCAUAUAUGUUGGGACCCGAAAGAUGGUGAACUAUGCCUGAAUAGGGUGAAGCCAGAGGAAACUCUGGUGGAGGCUCGUAGCGAUUCUGACGUGCAAAUCGAUCGUCAAAUUUGGGUAUAGGGGCGAAAGACUAAUCGAACCAUCUAGUAGCUGGUUCUGCG
rnacentral:rRNA from 1 species